rnacentral:rRNA from 1 species
UACGUAGGGUGCAAGCGUUAAUCGGAAUUACUGGGUGUAAAGCGUGCGCAGGCGGUGAUGUAAGACAGAUGUGAAAUCCCCGGGCUCAACCUGGGACCUGCAUUUGUGACUGCAUCGCUAGAGUACGGUAGAGGGGGAUGGAAUUCCGCGUGUAGCAGUGAAAUGCGUAGAUAUGCGGAGGAACACCGAUGGCGAAGGCAAUCCCCUGGACCUGUACUGACGCUCGUGCACGAAAGCGUGGGGAGCAAACAGG